ensembl:snRNA U6 U6 spliceosomal RNA
GUGCUUGCUUUAGCAGCACAUAUUCUAAAACUGGAAUGAUAUAGAGAAUAUUAGCAUGGCCCCUGUGCAAGGAUGACACACAAAUUCGUGAGACAUUGCUUAUUUUU